UACUUAUCUGACUCUUGCUUCUCUCUUCUCCUCUCCCACCCUUUCACUUGUGCUGCCUUCAUUUCAUAACAUUUAUUACUAUGUUAUUGUUCAAGCAUGAUCAUAAUUAGAGAUGUCUUUGCUAUAGUAAAACUCAUAAUACAUAUCUAUCUUUCAAUCAUGCCGCAUUGAAUUCUUGUGAAAAAGAUAAAAUUUAAGUUCUUUCAUAGUAAGAAUAUCAAGUUUUGUCUUCUAAGACUACAGAGCACUCUUGGGCAAUUCAUUCAGAAUCCUUCACACUUCAAGUUCUCUCUCUUGCCCUCAUUGUCGUACCUCUCUCUCUCUCUCUCUCUCUCUCUCUCUCUCUCUCUCUCUCUCCUUGAGUUCAAUUUCUUUGUUUUUUCUUAAGCAACUAGAGUAAGUUCUGUACCUUUCCUCCUUUGAGUUCAUGAACCUUUCGUCUUGUUUCCUUGCUGAAUUUUUUUAGGAGACAUCAUGUUAGUUUUGCCUAGAGUUUUUGAAAGGAAAAUCCCUCUACCUCCUUUUUUAUGGCCGCGAGUUAUGUCUUGGUUUGGGGUGCUGGGAAAAUGUUUUUGAACUUCUUCUUUUUCUUCCUCUACUUCUCUUUUUGGCUGCGGGUUUGGUGUAGGGGUUUGGAGUUCGAUUUUCUUUCAUCUAGAACUUGUUUUAAUUAAGGUUAUGUCUCUUUGUUCUAGGUCUCAAAAUUUACGCACUACUACUUGCGAAGGAAAUGACGUCCCACAAAGUGACCUUGAUUCCUUCGAAGACGUUAACCCUGUUGCGUUGACACCUAUAGAAGUUGAGAUGAAGACCUUGGAGAAACGGUUGGACGCUAAGAUUGACGCUCUUCGUGAAGAACUAUUCAACUUUGUGAUCGAUUCUAACGUCUUGGACUCUCAUUUUUGUCUUAGAACUUAUCUUCUAUGGUUUUUUAAUAAUUUGUUUUGGUUUGUUGAAUUUGGACAUAAGUGCUCGAAUUAUCUUAUUUUGAA